rnacentral:tRNA from 1 species
GCCCUCGUAGCUCAGUGGAUAGAGCACAACUCUCCUAAAGUUGGUGUCGGCAGUUCGAUUCUGCCCGGGGGCG